rnacentral:rRNA from 1 species
CUCCAGUUGGAUGCAUGUCCUUCUGGGAAAGAUUCAUCGGUAUGGGAUGGGGUCGCGUCCUAUCAGCUUGAUGGCGGGGUAACGGCCCACCAUGGCUUCGACGGGUAGCCGGCCUGAGAGGGCGACCGGCCACAUUGGGACUGAGAUACGGCCCAGACUCCUACGGGAGGCAGCAGUGGGGAAUAUUGCACAAUGGGCGCAAGCCUGAUGCAGCGACGCCGCGUGCGGGAUGACGGCCUUCGGGUUGUAAACCGCUUUUGACUGGGAGCAAGCCCUUCGGGGUGAGUGUACCUUUCGAAUAAGCACCGGCUAACUACGUGCCAGCAGCCGCGGUAAUACGUAGGGUGCAGGCGUUAUCCGGAAUUAUUGGGCGUAAAGGGCUCGUAGGCGGUUCGUCGCGUCCGGUGUGAAAGUCCAUCGCUUAACGGUGGAUCCGCGCCGGGUACGGGCGG